UAAUUGCCUCUAUACCCCUCGUGCUCCUGAAAAUAUUCGAUCUAUACCCCUACUUUUUUUUUCUUUCUAAAAUGUCCCUCAUAUGUUCCACCGUUAUUUCAAAUUACACCGCAGUUAUUCCCUGUUAGCUUAAUUCGGAUUAAACAUGAGUUAAAUGUAUACUAGAAUUAAAACCUAUAUAAAAUACCUAUUUUGCCCCUACCUUAUUAUACUAAUCCCUUAAGUUAUUCUCUUUUUCUCUCCCAACUUGGUCGGCAGCAGCUCACCACCACCGGCGCCGGCUCCUCCGCCUCCACCUCGCCUUAUCUCCUCUCAGACCACCACCGCCACCACCUCCCACACCUCCCCCUCCAACACAAGCCACCAAUUCAACAAUCCCCAAAAGAUAAACACCAAAUUAAUUAACACAUUAAAACCCUUAAAAAUCCAAUUUCAAGAACACCCAAUUAACCCUUUUCUCUUCCGCUCAAUCCAAACCGCACAGAUCGAUCCACACCCCCUUCAAAAAAAACGCAUCGAUACACAAAAACCCAACACGGAAACCUACAAAAGAGGGAGAUCAAAAGGGGGAACCCAUAUGAGAAAUUAAGGAGGAUCCAUGGCGAGGGAUCUCACCUCCUCCUCUCCCUUCGCAUUACCUCCUCCUCCCCUUUGUCUCGCCUCAUCGCCUCAUCUCGCCGCUCUCAUCGUCCUCCUUCUCCGCCGCUCUCGUCGUCGUCCUCCUCCUCCUCCGCCGCCUUGGCCGGCGUCGGGAGCAAGAGGGCCGCAGCGAUGAUCCCGUCUCGCCCCAGGCCGUCCGCGUGCUGGGAGCAAAAGGGCGCGGUGUUGCACGCGGAGGGGAGAAAUGGCGCGGUGUUGCGCGGUCCACAAGGCCAGUUUGGUCUCGUGGACCGGAUGAGAGAGAGGUCCACGGUGGACCUCCCUCUAUAUAUAUAUAUAUAUAUAUAUAUAUAUAUAUAUAUUUAUAAAGCGGAGAUAAAUUUCAUGCAUUUUAACCAUCUUAACCUUUUUUUUUUUCUCAAAAAAAAAAACUAUUAUGUUGUUGAAAUAUUUAGCUGUGCCCAGAUUGAAUGAGGGCCCCAACCCUUUAAUUCCUAGCUAGUCCUUGUGUGGAAUUUUUUUACUCAAAUGGUUAAAUGUAAAUUUAUAUUUUAAAAUAGUUGAGAUAUUUCAUAUAAACAUCAUGUAAGUAACUUUUGGAAUAGUUAAUUUAUGGGAUAAUUGCCUAUAUACCCCUCAUGCUCCUAGAAAUAUUCGAUCUAUACCCCUACUUUUUUUUCCUUUCUAAAAUGUCCCUCAUAUAUUCCACCGUUAUUCUAAAUUACCCCGCAGUUAUCCCCUGUUAGCUUAAUUCGGAUUAAACAUGGGUUAAAUAUAUACUAGAGUUAAAACCUAUAUAAAAUAUCUAUUUUGCCCCUACCUUAUUAUACUAAUCCCUUAAGUUAUUCUCUCUUUCUCUCCCAACUU
rnacentral:lncRNA from 1 species